rnacentral:antisense_RNA from 2 species
CUUCAGCGAACCCAGCCACAACGGCCGCCCGGCGGGCCGGUCCUGGCCGUACGUGGCCAGCAGCGCCUGCGCCUC